rnacentral:tRNA from 1 species
GGGCGAGUGGCGGAAUUGGUAUACGCGCACGACUCAAAAUCGUGUUCCUUCGGGAUUGAGGGUUCAAGUCCCUCCUCGCCCACCA